rnacentral:rRNA from 2 species
AAGGUGGCCUGUGAGGGUUGCUGGAGGUAUCAGAAGUGCGAAUGCUGACAUAAGUAACGAUAAAGCGGGUGAAAAGCCCGCUCGCCGGAAGACCAAGGGUUCCUGUCCAACGUUAAUCGGGGCAGGGUGAGUCGACCCCUAAGGCGAGGCCGAAAGGCGUAGUCGAUGGGAAACGGGUUAAUAUUCCCGUACUUGGUGUUACUGCGAAGGGGGGACGGAGAAGGCUAUGUUGGCCGGGCGACGGUUGUCCCGGUUUAAGCGUGUAGGUGUGUGUUCCAGGUAAAUCCGGUUCACUUUAACACUGAGGCGUGACGACGAGGCACUACGGUGCUGAAGCAACAAAUGCCCUGCUUCCAGGAAAAGCCUCUAAGCAUCAGGUAACAUCAAAUCGUACCCCAAACCGACACAGGUGGUCAGGUAGAGAAUACCAAGGCGCUUGAGAGAACUCGGGUGAAGGAACUAGGCAAAAUGGUGCCGUAACUUCGGGAGAAGGCACGCUGACACGUAGGUGAAGUGAUUUACUCACGGAGCUGAAGUCAGUCGAAGAUACCAGCUGGCUGCAACUGUUUAUUAAAAACACAGCACUGUGCAAACACGAAAGUGGACGUAUACGGUGUGACGCCUGCCCGGUGCCGGAAGGUUAAUUGAUGGGGUCAGCGCAAGCGAAGCUCCUGAUCGAAGCCCCGGUAAACGGCGGCCGUAACUAUAACGGUCCUAAGGUAGCGAAAUUCCUUGUCGGGUAAGUUCCGACCUGCACGAAUGGCGUAAUGAUGGCCAGGCUGUCUCCACCCGAGACUCAGUGAAAUUGAACUCGCUGUGAAGAUGCAGUGUACCCGCGGCAAGACGGAAAGACCCCGUGAACCUUUACUAUAGCUUGACACUGAACAUUGAGCCUUGAUGUGUAGGAUAGGUGGGAGGCUUUGAAGUGUGGACGCCAGUCUGCAUGGAGCCGACCUUGAAAUACCACCCUUUAAUGUUUGAUGUUCUAACGUGGACCCGUAAUCCGGGUUGCGGACAGUGUCUGGUGGGUAGUUUGACUGGGGCGGUCUCCUCCUAAAGAGUAACGGAGGAGCACGAAGGUUGGCUAAUCCUGGUCGGACAUCAGGAGGUUAGUGCAAUGGCAUAAGCCAGCUUGACUGCGAGCGUGACGGCGCGAGCAGGUGCGAAAGCAGGUCAUAGUGAUCCGGUGGUUCUGAAUGGAAGGGCCAUCGCUCAACGGAUAAAAGGUACUCCGGGGAUAACAGGCUGAUACCGCCCAAGAGUUCAUAUCGACGGCGGUGUUUGGCACCUCGAUGUCGGCUCAUCACAUCCUGGGGCUGAAGUAGGUCCCAAGGGUAUGGCUGUUCGCCAUUUAAAGUGGUACGCGAGCUGGGUUUAGAACGUCGUGAGACAGUUCGGUCCCUAUCUGCCGUGGGCGCUGGAGAACUGAGGGGGGCUGCUCCUAGUACGAGAGGACCGGAGUGGACGCAUCACUGGUGUUCGGGUUGUCAUGCCAAUGGCACUGCCCGGUAGCUAAAUGCGGAAGAGAUAAGUGCUGAAAGCAUCUAAGCACGAAACUUGCCCCGAGAUGAGUUCU